GUCGUUGUAGUAUAGUGGUGAGUAUAUUCCCGCCUGUCACGCGGGUGACCCGGGUUCGAUCCCCGGCAACGGCG
rfam:Citrus clementina cultivar Clemenules unplaced genomic scaffold scaffold_2, whole genome shotgun sequence.